rnacentral:sRNA from 1 species
AUGGUUUUCUCUUCCAAGUGAACAUAUAUUUUGCUUUAUAUUUAGUUGUUACAGUAUUAGCAUUAGUUGACUGCAUUUGCACUCACUGUUUUGAGUACUUGUAUUCACGUUGCCUGUUUUAUAUUGUAGCAUACGUUAUAUUUGCGGCUUUGAAUGAGUACAAUACUCGAGUUAGCCAACACUCAUCUCGGUUUCGAAUUCAACUGUUCACCGAAAACCCAAUUGGAGAAUCGCCAAUCAGAAAACUCACUUGAGCUACACAAUUUCGAUUCAUGGACUCUAAAUAACAGGCUCGCAGCAAAAGCAGAGCGGCGCUCUUUGAGAUUUCGUUUUCGUUUCGUUGCGUUCCGUUUCGCCUGAGUGUGAAUUUCAUUUCAUCGUGCAUGUGUGUGUGUGUGUGUUUGUUUUUGGUUUUGUAUGAGUCGGCGCUCUCUUUGCUCAUUUGUUUCGUUGUUGCUUUUGCUGGUGGUGGUGCCGGUGCCGGUGCCUGUGUGUGUGUGAGGGAGAGGGAAAAAGUUUGUUUCGAAAGAGCUUUGCCUCCACACUCUUUGCACUGAAGGAAAUUUGAUAUUACUUGGCGAUCCAAGAAAAAAAAACAAUAAAAUAAAUACUUGAUGUAGCGAAAGGUAUAUAUACAUGUACUUUACAUAGAUAUUAUUAUUGCGUUGUGUAUUGAGGGUAGGUGAGCAAUUUCGAACAGUGCAUAACCAAUGAGCAUGCAUAUCAUAUUUUUGAGCUAUUAAAUUGCGACCUGUAGAUACACACUACAUACAUAUGUAUGAGCUUUUGAGCUUCUUACUGGUAUCCCUCAUUUCCAGCCUAUUCAUAGAGUGGGUUUGUUUGCUUUGAGUGGAGCACCAUUUAGACAAUUGAGUGAGGUGGUGAGUGGUGGCAAUCCACAGACUCCACUUGACCCCGUUCGAGUGCAUUUUUUGUUACCUUCGUUGAGUUCAGGCGACAGGAUAGCAGCAACUCAGACAGAGCCAAGCGGAACUGCCAAAAAUUCAACUCGUCAUGACCUCUCUCUGGCAUUAGCUCUACCUCUCUCUCUAUCUGCAUCUCUCUCACAUACAAUGGGCUUCUCUGAGUGAGUGCGAGAUGGCAAGACCUUAUGGGGUUCAGUGAGUGAGACGCCUGGAAGCAUGAAAAAAUCCUUGAACAUAUUGAUGAACCAGGAGUGCAGUAGUCAGAGCUGCAUCAUGAGUUUCAAAUAACUGGAAUAACUGCUGCCAAGUCAAAGUCAAUGGCACAUUAUCCGCAAUCGGAGCAGGGGAACCACUGCAGAGCAGCGCAGAGCAGAGGAACGGAACGGAACGGAUGGGCCAUGGACCGACCAUUAGAAGAGGCGGAUGAGGGAGGCACCGCAGCGGAGGAAGUGGCUCGAGUUGAGUCUGGCCUCUGCUUAGACAUUCCUUGCAGCUCCCUCAAGGCCGCACAGUAGGCCUUGCAAUUGAGCUUACUCAAAUGUUGGUAUAUGUAUGUGGCUUUAGUUUUGUUGAUGUUCCCGUUAAAAGUGUUGCAAAAUCAAACAAAAAUAUAUACAAUGUCGUAAGGUUUUCGAUUAUUUUAAAGUUCGCGUUGAAGGUACUUUCCCUUCUUUCCAAAAAUGAUUGGUUUCUUUGACCUGCGAACUCUCUUUGCUCCGCUGGAAUAUGGCGUGAGAAUAGCCUCGAGUCUGGUGUCGGCCGUUGGAAACUUUCUGCAGUGCAUGUGGCUGCCACCUUUGAGGCAUACAUAGUUCAUGUCUGUGGCAUACAUCUGCUCUUCUUCAAUCAAAUCUCCAGCAAACAUUUUUGAAAAACUAAAUUUUAAAAUUCAUGUUGCUAAAUUUGACGGAGCUUAGGUCAUUAGAUCACACAAUUCCAAAUAAACAUGUGAUCGUACAACUCACAGAAUAACAAACCUUACUAAGGAGAGGCCAAGUGUUGGCCAGGUUGCAGAUGAAGCCAGACCUGGCCAAAGGAAUGCAAAGCCAACAGACGGACGACCGAAUGAAGAAGAUGUUAACCCACAGGCGGCGGAUGUGUCCAAGAAGCAGGGACCACGACCACGACCACGACCAGGACCCGGACCAGUCGUCCCCCCGAGGGUAGGGGUCUGGGGCUGGGACUGAGACUGAAGCCCAGAAGAAGCGUAAAGAGCAGCAAACAACAGCAGCAUAAGCAAAACGACCAACAACUAAGAGAUGAAGGAACGGAAGAGUACCAACGACAACGACCCUGGGAGCAAAUUCAAUGCAAUAAUACAAAAAAAACUUGCAGAAAAUAUAACUUGGACGCGCCGAUUUAUAUAUA